UACAGAGGGUGCAAGCGUUGUUCGGAAUUAUUGGGCGUAAAGCGCGUGUAGGCGGCCGUGCAAGUCGGGUGUGAAAGCCCUCGGCUCACCGAGGAAGUGCGCCCGAAACUGCAUGGCUUGAGUACCGGAGAGGAUGGCGGAAUUCCCCAAGUAGAGGUGAAAUUCGUGAGAUAUGGGGGAGGAACACCGGUGGCGAAGGCGGCCAUCUGGACGGA
rnacentral:rRNA from 1 species